rnacentral:rRNA from 1 species
UGACGGGGGGGGCAAGCGGGUUGUCCGGAUUUAUUGGGCGUAAAGAGCGUGUAGGCGGUCAGGUAGGUCCGUUGUGAAAACUCGAGGCUCAACCUCGAGACGCCGAUGGAAACCAUCUGACUAGAGUCCGGAAGAGGAGAGUGGAAUUCCUGGUGUAGCGGUGGAAUGCGCAGAUAUCAGGAGGAACACCGGUGGCGAAGGCGGGUCUCUGGGCAGUAACUGACGCUGAGGAGCGAAAGCGUGGGGGAGCGAACAGG